rnacentral:rRNA from 1 species
GACGUAGGGCGCGAGCGUUGUCCGGAUUUAUUGGGCGUAAAGCGCUCGUAGGCGGCUUGUCGCGUCGACUGUGAAAUCCCGCGGCUCAACUGCGGGUCUGCAGUCGAUACGGGCAGGCUAGAGUUCGGUAGGGGAGACUGGAAUUCCUGGUGUAGCGGUGAAAUGCGCAGAUAUCAGGAGGAACACCGAUGGCGAAGGCAGGUCUCUGGGCCGAUACUGACGCUGAGGAGCGAAAGCGUGGGGAGCGAACAGG